rnacentral:tRNA from 1 species
UGCAUCGGCCGGGAAUCGAACCCUGGCCGCCCGCGUGGCAGGCGAGCAUUCUGCGACUGAACCACCGAUGC